AUACGUAGGUGGCGAGCGUUGUCCGGAAUUACUGGGUGUAAAGGGCGUGUAGGCGGGAAUGUAAGUCAGAUGUGAAAUCCCAGGGCUUAACCCUGGAGCUGCAUCUGAAACUAUGUUUCUUGAGUGUCGGAGAGGAAAGCGGAAUUCCUAGUGUAGCGGUGAAAUGCGUAGAUAUUAGGAGGAACACCAGUGGCGAAGGCGGCUUUCUGGACGAUAACUGACGCUGAGGCGCGAAAGCGUGGGGAGCAAACAGGAUUAGAUACCCUGGUAGUCCACGCUGUAAACGAUGGAUACUAGGUGUAGGAGGUAUCGACCCCUUCUGUGCCGGAGUUAACACAAUAAGUAUCCCACCUGGGGAGUACGGCCGCAAGGUUGA
rnacentral:rRNA from 1 species